rnacentral:misc_RNA from 1 species
GUAAAACUAAUCGACAUGUGGUAAAAUUAAAAAAUCCAAAUUUCUCGGUACUUAGGCAGAAUUAGCGAUACUAAUCGCAGUAAAAAUUUUCGCUGGUAGAUGGCAUCACCAUGUCCAAAAUAGGGUACUUUUACAGAUUUGAUUUCUCACUGCUAGCUGAUUGUAGUGUUUAGUAGCCCGCCAACUGGACAAUUUUUUAAAUCUGUUUAAAACUAAUUAUUUAAAUAAAAUUAAUUUCAAUUAAUUCCACAAGUUCUAAACAUCCGUUUGAGCUCUCGAUAACGAAAAAUAAAUACAUGGUUCCAUUAAAAAAAGUGACAAUGAACUUGAAAUCUCAUGAAACAAUGAUUAUGGAUAAAUAAUACUUCCACCAUUGCACAUGUUCCUUGAGAUACUGUAAAUUUAUCCAGGAAAGUGUUUUCAUACAACAAUAAAUAAGGCAGAUAUCUGGGUGGUCCCAUGUAGCUGAAUUAGCCUGUGUUAUAAUUCUGCAAUAAAAUUUAUUGAUGCAGAAAAUGUUUCUGUUUUUAUUCAUUUCAUAAAUAAAAAUUCUGUACACAG